ACUCCUACGGGAGGCAGCAGUGGGGAAUAUUGCACAAUGGGCGCAAGCCUGAUGCAGCCAUGCCGCGUGUAUGAAGAAGGCCUUCGGGUUGUAAAGUACUUUCAGCAGUGAGGAAGGCGGAGUCGUUAAUAGCGGCCUCGUUUGACGUUAGCUGCAGAAGAAGCACCGGCUAACUCCGUGCCAGCAGCCGCGGUAAUACGGAGGGUGCGAGCGUUAAUCGGAAUUACUGGGCGUAAAGCGCAUGCAGGCGGCCUGUUAAGUCAGAUGUGAAAGCCCGGGGCUCAACCUCGGAAUUGCAUUUGAAACUGGCAGACUAGAGUACUGUAGAGGGGGGUAGAAUUUCAGGUGUAGCGGUGAAAUGCGUAGAGAUCUGAAGGAAUACCAGUGGCGAAGGCGGCCCCCUGGACAAAGACUGACGCUCAGAUGCGAAAGCGUGGGGAGCAAACAGGAUUAGAUACCCUGGUAGCACAGAG
rnacentral:rRNA from 1 species